GCGUGGGAAUACAACGCCCUGAUCCCGAGCAACCGGAUACCUAAAUAUUACCGACAGAUAUUGCUUAGUAGCAAGUAGUUCCAUUUUACUUGAGGUGGUCCAGCGAGGACGCCACUAACGCUGGCUUCAUCGAAAUACACGGGAGAUUGGAAGCCCUGC